rnacentral:rRNA from 1 species
UACGUAGGGUGCAAGCGUUAUUCGGAAUUACUGGGCGUAAAGCGUGCGCAGGCGGUUUUGCAAGACAGAUGUGAAAUCCCCGGGCUCAACCUGGGAAUUGCAUUUGUGACUGCACGGCUAGAGUGUGUCAGAGGGGGGUAGAAUUCCACGUGUAGCAGUGAAAUGCGUAGAGAUGUGGAGGAAUACCGAUGGCGAAGGCAGCCCCCUGGGAUAACACUGACGCUCAUGCACGAAAGCGUGGGGAGCAAACAGG